rnacentral:rRNA from 1 species
AACGAACGCUGGCGGCGUGCCUAACACAUGCAAGUCGAGCGGGAUUCAUGAGGACGAAACUUCGGUCUAGAAAUCAUGAUGAGAGCGGCGGACGGGUGAGUAACGCGUAGGCAACCUGCCCUUAGCACAGGGAUAGCCUCGGGAAACCGGGAUUAAAACCUGAUAAUGCCAAACAGUCACAUGGCUGUUUGGCCAAAGAUUUAUCGGCUAAGGAUGGGCCUGCGUCUGAUUAGUUAGUUGGUGGGGUAACGGCAUACCAAGACGACGAUCAGUAGCCGACCUGAGAGGGUGAUCGGCCACAUUGGAACUGAGACACGGUCCAAACUCCUACGGGAGGCAGCAGUGGGGAAUAUUGCACAAUGGGCGAAAGCCUGAUGCAGCAACGCCGCGUGAGCGAUGAAGGCCUUUGGGUCGUAAAGCUCUGUCCUAGGGGACGAACAAAAUGACGGUACCCUUGGAGGAAGCCCCGGCUAACUACGUGCCAGCAGCCGCGGUAACAC